rnacentral:tRNA from 1 species
GGGGCGUUGGUCUAGUGGUAUGAUUCCUCGUUUGGGCGACGAGUCGCGGAACAUCGCGAUAUAUUCUCACACCGCAUCGAGACGACGACGGACGUCGAGGAGGUCGCGAGUUCGAUUCUCGCACGCCCCC